rnacentral:rRNA from 1 species
GGGAUUGCCUCAGUAACGGCGAGUGAAGCGGCAACAGCUCAAAUUUGAAAUCUGGCUCCUCUCGGGGUCCGAGUUGUAAUUUGUAGAGAGUGUUUCGGGGGAGACCGCGGUCUAAGUCCAUUGGAACAUGGCGUCAUAGAGGGUGAGAAUCCCGUCUGUGACCGCGGAUCGAGCCCAUGUGAAGCCUCUUCGACGAGUCGAGUUGUUUGGGAAUGCAGCUCAAAAUGGGUGGUAAAUUUCAUCUAAAGCUAAAUANUGGCUGGAGACCGAUAGCGCACAAGUAGAGUGAUCGAAAGAUGAAAAGCACUUUGGAAAGAGAGUUAAACAGUACGUGAAAUUGUUGAAAGGGAAGCGCUUGCGACCAGACCUGCCCGUGGGCGAUCAGCCGCUGUUCUCAGCGGUGCACUCGUUCCACGAUCAGGCCAGCAUCGGUUUCGGCGGUCGGAUAAAGGCCUUGGGAAUGUAGCUUCCCUUCGGGGGAGUCUUAUAGCCCUCGGUGCAAUGCGGCCAGCCGGGACCGAGGACCGCGCUUCGGCUAGGAUGCUGGCGUAAUGGUCGUAAGCGACCCGUCUUGAAACACGGACCAAGGAGUCUAACAUCUAUGCGAGUGUUUGGGUGUUAAACCCAUGCGCGGAAUGAAAGUGAACGGAGGUGAGAACCCUUAAGGGCGCAUCAUCGACCGAUCCAGAUGUCUUCGGAUGGAUUUGAGUAUGAGCAUAGCUGUUGGGACCCGAAAGAUGGUGAACUAUGCCUGAAUAGGGUGAAGCCAGAGGAAACUCUGGUGGAGGCUCGCAGCGGUUCUGACGUGCAAAUCGAUCGUCAAAUUUGGGUAUAGGGGCGAAAGACUAAUC